rnacentral:rRNA from 1 species
CCUACGGGAGGCAGCAGUGGGGGAUAUUGCACAAUGGGGGGAACCCUGAUGCAGCGACGCCGCGUGGGUGAAGAAGCGCCUCGGCGCGUAAAGCCCUGUCAGCAGGGAAGAAAAUGACGGUACCUGAAGAAGAAGCCCCGGCUAACUACGUGCCAGCAGCCGCGGUAAUACGUAGGGGGCAAGCGUUAUCCGGAUUUACUGGGUGUAAAGGGGGCGUAGACGGCGAUGCAAGCCAGGAGUGAAAGCCCGGGGCUCAACCCCGGGACUGCUCUUGAAACUGCGGGGCUGGAGUGCAGGAGGGGCAGGCGGAAUUCCUGGUGUAGCGGUGAAAUGCGUAGAUAUCAGGAGGAACACCAGUGGCGAAGGCGGCCUGCUGGACUGCAACUGACGUUGAGGCCCGAAAGCGUGGGGAGCAAACAGGAUUAGAUACCCGAGUAGUC